UAAAGGGAGAGAGCACAAAGGCCUAAAAGCCACAGAUGCUCGGUGCUCUCACGCACGCACGCACGGCUGCCCUCAAACCCUCAGUAGAGAGAAGACAAACACUGUCGGAGCAAAGUGACUCCACAUAGUUCCCGAAGCACCCCCUUCUUGGUCCUGGGAAGCUGUUUGCAGGAUGUUCUUCGCUCCUUUGAACACGCUGAGAAUACAGAGUCAUGAUCACCUGGUA